GGGGGGAGUAGGUUAUUGCCAGGGUUUUUAUUUUGUACUUUAAACCCAAAAAUUAUUUUUUAUAUUUUUUUAAUGUUCAUGUUUUUGAAUGUUUUAUUCAAAAAAAGUAAAAAAAAAAAAAGAUAUUGACCCGGAUUGAACAAAAGAUAUAUAUUAUUUUAUGUUGCAUAAACAAAUAGGCAAAAUAGAGAUGGAAGAUAAAAAUAUGGUCAAAGUAAUAAGAGUCUAUGGUGAAUGCCUAGGAGCUUUAAGGCGAAGAAGGUCGUGGUAAGCUGCGAAAAGCUUGGGGGAGAAGCCAACCUUUUUUUAACCC
rnacentral:misc_RNA from 1 species